AGCAUGUUGGCUGCUUGGAGAUAUGAGGGCUUCUCCUGCUUGGGGAAGGGCAUGCAGCAGUUUGGCUGGCUCGAAGCUUAGAGAAGAGGACAGCAUACAGAAAAAUAUAUCUUCUGCAAAGAAAAGCACAGUCAUGUAGAGAACCUUUCCAUCCCCAAUCUGGACCCAGCUUUCCUGAGAGAGUUUGCCCUGUCCUCUGGUUGGAAGCUAUCGUGGAGGCAAAUCACCUUAAUCAAGUAAACGAGAAGACCAAAUGCUGGGUUUCAGUCUUCAUAAGGUUUGUACUCAUAAAUCCUGGCUGCCUUCACAGAAUCAAACUAUAAUUUUUUGUCCACCUCGAUUUGUGAAUUAUCAAGAGCUCUCUUAGAUUAUCUGCCUUUUAGCAGUGACUGAGGAUUCUUAAUAUUCCAGCCCAUAUUUAGAAUUGGCAAAUGCCAUGAAAGGCUAUUUAUUAAACUAAUCCAUGUUCUGAACUGUUAUUGCUACUGGAAGGGGCCCAAUCCAGACCCCAAAAGAGGAUUCUUGGAUCUUGCACAAGAAAGAAAGGG